GACGAACGCUGGCGGCGUGCCUAAUACAUGCAAGUUGAGCGAUGAAGCUUGGUGCUUGCCCCAAUUUGAAGAGCAGCGAACGGGUGAGUAACGCGUGGGGAAUCUGCCUUUGAGCGGGGGACAACAUUUGGAAACGAAUGCUAAUACCGCAUAAUAACUUUAAACAUAAGUUUUAAGUUUGAAAGAUGCAAUUGCAUCACUCAAAGAUGAUCCCGCGUUGUAUUAGCUAGUUGGUGAGGUAAAGGCUCACCAAGGCGAUGAUACAUAGCCGACCUGAGAGGGGGAUCGGCCACAUUGGGACUGAGACACGGCCCAAACUCCUACGGGAGGCAGCAGUAGGGAAUCUUCGGCAAUGGACGAAAGUCUGACCGAGCAACGCCGCGUGAGUGAAGAAGGGUUUCGGAUCGUAAAACUCUGUUGGUAGAGAAGAACGUUGGUGAGAGUGGAAAGCUCAUCAAGUGACGGUAACUACCCAGAAAGGGACGGCUAACUACGUG
rnacentral:rRNA from 1 species